AAGCCGCAAAGUUUUCAAUCGUUGUGACUGUGUUAACAUCGUUAGCCAUUGGACUAGUUCUAUUUGUAUUUUUCCUGUUUUUUCGGGGACGUCUAGCUUAUAUCUUUACAAAAAAUCAAGAUGUGGCUUCGGAAGUUGCUUAUUUGUCGCCUCUUCUGGCAUUUUCCAUACUCUUGAACAGUGUUCAACCAGUUCUUUCNCAAGAUGUGGCUUCGGAAGUUGCUUAUUUGUCGCCUCUUCUGGCAUUUUCCAUACUCUUGAACAGUGUUCAACCAGUUCUUUCCGGUAAGGUCGUUUGGUGGUUCAUUACAUCAUUUAACUCAACAAUCCUUUUUAAUUAAGAAGAGAAACUUAAAAAAUAGCAGCAAUAAUUAGAAGAAUUUCAGCUCAAUAUGCUACAAAUUUUUUCCUCUUAUGAUAGGU
rnacentral:lncRNA from 1 species